UAAGCCUGUGAAGGUGGCCUGUGAGGGUUGCUGGAGGUAUCAGAAGUGCGAAUGCUGACAUAAGUAACGAUAAAGCGGGUGAAAAGCCCGCUCGCCGGAAGACCAAGGGUUCCUGUCCAACGUUAAUCGGGGCAGGGUGAGUCGACCCCUAAGGCGAGGCCGAAAGGCGUAGUCGAUGGGAAACGGGUUAAUAUUCCCGUACUUGGUGUUACUGCGAAGGGGGGACGGAGAAGGCUAUGUUGGCCGGGCGACGGUUGUCCCGGUUUAAGCGUGUAGGUGUGUGUUCCAGGUAAAUCCGGUUCACUUUAACACUGAGGCGUGAUGACGAGGCACUACGGUGCUGAAGCAACAAAUGCCCUGCUUCCAGGAAAAGCCUCUAAGCAUCAGGUAACAUCAAAUCGUACCCCAAACCGACACAGGUGGUCAGGUAGAGAAUACCAAGGCGCUUGAGAGAACUCGGGUGAAGGAACUAGGCAAAAUGGUGCCGUAACUUCGGGAGAAGGCACGCUGACAUGUAGGUGAAGUGAUUUACUCAUGGAGCUGAAGUCAGUCGAAGAUACCAGCUGGCUGCAACUGUUUAUUAAAAACACAGCACUGUGCAAACACGAAAGUGGACGUAUACGGUGUGACGCCUGCCCGGUGCCGGAAGGUUAAUUGAUGGGGUCAGCGCAAGCGAAGCUCCUGAUCGAAGCCCCGGUAAACGGCGGCCGUAACUAUAACGGUCCUAAGGUAGCGAAAUUCCUUGUCGGGUAAGUUCCGACCUGCACGAAUGGCGUAAUGAUGGCCAGGCUGUCUCCACCCGAGACUCAGUGAAAUUGAACUCGCUGUGAAGAUGCAGUGUACCCGCGGCAAGACGGAAAGACCCCGUGAACCUUUACUAUAGCUUGACACUGAACAUUGAGCCUUGAUGUGUAGGAUAGGUGGGAGGCUUUGAAGUGUGGACGCCAGUCUGCAUGGAGCCGACCUUGAAAUACCACCCUUUAAUGUUUGAUGUUCUAACGUGGACCCGUAAUCCGGGUUGCGGACAGUGUCUGGUGGGUAGUUUGACUGGGGCGGUCUCCUCCUAAAGAGUAACGGAGGAGCACGAAGGUUGGCUAAUCCUGGUCGGACAUCAGGAGGUUAGUGCAAUGGCAUAAGCCAGCUUGACUGCGAGCGUGACGGCGCGAGCAGGUGCGAAAGCAGGUCAUAGUGAUCCGGUGGUUCUGAAUGGAAGGGCCAUCGCUCAACGGAUAAAAGGUACUCCGGGGAUAACAGGCUGAUACCGCCCAAGAGUUCAUAUCGACGGCGGUGUUUGGCACCUCGAUGUCGGCUCAUCACAUCCUGGGGCUGAAGUAGGUCCCAAGGGUAUGGCUGUUCGCCAUUUAAAGUGGUACGCGAGCUGGGUUUAGAACGUCGUGAGACAGUUCGGUCCCUAUCUGCCGUGGGCGCUGGAGAACUGAGGGGGGCUGCUCCUAGUACGAGAGGACCGGAGUGGACGCAUCACUGGUGUUCGGGUUGUCAUGCCAAUGGCACUGCCCGGUAGCUAAAUGCGGAAGAGAUAAGUGCUGAAAGCAUCUAAGCACGAAACUUGCCCCGA
rnacentral:rRNA from 1 species